rnacentral:tRNA from 1 species
GGAGACGUGGGUGAGUGGCUGAAACCAACGGUUUGCUAAACCGUCGUAGGGUGUUUAACCUUACCGAGGGUUCGAAUCCCUCCGUCUCCGCCA